rnacentral:rRNA from 1 species
UACGUAGGGUGCGAGCGUUACUCGGAAUUACUGGGCGUAAAGCGUGCGCAGGCGGUUCGUUAAGUCAGAUGUGAAAGCCCCGGGCUCAACCUGGGAACUGCAUUUGAAACUGGCGGGCUUGAGUGUGGCAGAGGGGGGUGGAAUUCCACGUGUAGCAGUGAAAUGCGUAGAGAUGUGGAGGAACACCGAUGGCGAAGGCAGCCCCCUGGGCUAACACUGACGCUCAUGCACGAAAGCGUGGGGAGCAAACAGG